GUUUGAUCCUGGCUCAGGACGAACGCUGGCGGCGUGCUUAACACAUGCAAGUCGAACGAUGAAGCCCUUCGGGGUGGAUUAGUGGCGAACGGGUGAGUAACACGUGGGCAAUCUGCCCUGCACUCUGGGACAAGCCCUGGAAACGGGGUCUAAUACCGGAUAUCACUCUUGCAGGCAUCUGUGAGGGUCGAAAGCUCCGGCGGUGCAGGAUGAGCCCGCGGCCUAUCAGCUUGUUGGUGAGGUAAUGGCUCACCAAGGCGACGACGGGUAGCCGGCCUGAGAGGGCGACCGGCCACACUGGGACUGAGACACGGCCCAGACUCCUACGGGAGGCAGCAGUGGGGAAUAUU
rnacentral:rRNA from 1 species